AUGACUUCCCUCUCCAUUGUCCAAAUGCUGGUGUAUGGACUGUGACUGGACAUCUCAAUUCUCGUGGAAUCCGACUCAAUCUGCAUUAAUAAAUCUGUCUUUUUAGAGUCCAACAGUUCAGAGUGCGGCAGACUCUAAAGGCUGUUGAUCCGUUUGGAAAUUUUCUUCGCGGACUUCAGCUUAAUGUUGUUCCAAGGGUUCCAUACGCUGUUCCAGGUCCUCUCUCCCUGUGGCACAUAGAUGGUAACCAUAAACUGAUACGCUGGAGAAUUGUUAUAUAGAGGCUGUGUUUGGAUUUUCUGUCGAGAUUUUAAUAAACGUUGAUAUGGUUGGUCAGUACUGCUCGAUCAAGAACUGCCACAGCAGGUCACACGAUCGUUCAGGGAGGAAACUGAACAACGGAAUACGUUUUUUUCAGCUUUCCUUCCUGGAAAAAACAACAAGGGAAGCAGGUGCAGGAGCUGACAAAAAGACGCCGAAUCAAGUGGGUUGCCGCAAUCAGGAGAGAAAAAUUUUACUUUUCAAAACAUUCCUGCAUCAGCGAGAGUGUGUUCGCUGCAUUUUCAGUCUUGUUUUUAUGCUAACACUGUCAAACAAACUUGUAAAUGUAAAUUAUGUAUUUCAAUGAAAAAAAAAUGUAAACGUAAAUUAUUGAUUGUAAAUUAUGUAUUCAUUAAUUUCUAAUCAACAUAACCACAUGAAUUACAAAAAUAAAUCUGCCCACCACAAGCAAAAUAAAACUGGG
ensembl:lncRNA